AACACACAGCAGAUGACAUGGACCAACACCAGCAGAUGUCUGACUGUGGAAACCUCACACCAGACCUCAAGCAACGUGGGUUCUGUGCCUCUCCACUCUUCUUCCAGACUCU